UCGGGAAUUUUGGGCAAUGGGGGAAACCCUGACCCAGCAACGCCGCGUGAAGGAUGAAGUAUUUCGGUAUGUAAACUUCGAAAGAAUAGGAAGAAUAAAUGACGGUACUAUUUAUAAGGUCCGGCUAACUACGUGCCAGCAGCCGCGGUAAUACGUAGGGACCAAGCGUUGUUCGGAUUUACUGGGCGUAAAGGGCGCGUAGGCGGCAUGACAAGUCACUUGUGAAAUCUCUGGGCUUAACCCAGAACGGCCAAGUGAUACUGUCGCGCUAGAGUGCAGAAGGGGCAAUCGGAAUUCUUGGUGUAGCGGUGAAAUGCGUAGAUAUCAAGAGGAACACCUGAGGUGAAGACGGGUUGCUGGGCUGACACUGACGCUGAGGCGCGAAAGCCGGGGGAGCAAACGGGAUUAGAUACCCGCGUAGUCCCUGAGCGGGCUGGCAAGGCGCAU
rnacentral:rRNA from 1 species